rnacentral:rRNA from 1 species
AUGGCGGCAAUGGAGGCCGCCGCCGACGCGAUGCUCGCCGCCGCCAGCCGCGCCUUCUGCAGCUCCGUCGCGGUCUUCUUCCAGAUCCAGGGGUGCUGUAUCUGCUUACUACUUGCUUUUGGUUGGUCUGUUGCUUCACUGGUCAGAAAAAAGGAAAUUCGCAAGAUGAGGCGCAAAAUGGCAUCUGGACAUAGUUUUGCAUUUCUUUGUGAUGACGUAGAUGAGCUUGAGCACUCUGUCCAGCAGAAAUUACCUAUGGUCUCUGUAGUCAUGCCUUUGAAGGGAUUUGGGGAACACAAUUUGCAAAACUGGAGAACCCAGAUUACUUCUCUUUAUGGGGGGCCAUUGGAAUUCUUGUUCGUAGUAGAAAGCAAAGACGAUCCAGCUUAUCGUGCCGUCUCCCGUUUGAUUGUAGAGUACAAGGACAAAUUGGACGCAAAGGUGGUUGUAGCUGGGUUUUCAACAACGUGUAGCCAGAAAAUUCAUAAUCAGUUAAUUGGUGUUGAAAAGAUGCACAAGGACAGCAAAUAUGUUCUAUUUCUAGACGAUGAUGUCAGACUGCAUCCUGGGACAGUCGGAGCUCUCACAAAAGAAAUGGAGAAGAACCCUGAGAUAUUUAUCCAAACGGGAUACCCCCUUGACUUACCUUCUGGCAGCUUGGGAAGCUAUUGCAUAUAUGAAUAUCACAUGCCCUGUUCGAUUGGAUUUGCAACUGGUGGGAGGACUUUCUUUUUGUGGGGUGGCUGUAUGAUGAUGCAUGCUGAUGAUUUCCGGCAAGACCUGUAUGGUUUAGUCACUGCACUAAAAAAUGGUGGUUACUCAGAUGAUAUGACCCUGGCUGCAAUUGCUGGGCAACAUAAAAGGCUCAUAACUUCACCACCGGUUGCUGUGUUUCCACAUCCUCUUGCAAGUGAUCUCAGCUUCUCCAGAUACUGGAAUUAUCUGAGGAAGCAAACUUUUGUUCUUGAAUCAUAUGUAUCAAAGGUCAACUGGAUAAUGAACCGUGCACUAUUUGGUGUGCAUUUCUAUUUGUCAUGGGGAUUUGUUUGUCCCUAUGUUAUGGCUUUGGUACAUAUUGCGACUACUCUUAGAGCACCAUACAGCACAAUUGUAAAGGAAGCAGCUGGCUCAUCUUGUGGUCUGAAACUAGUGAGCUUCUUGUUAAUAUGCACUCUCACUGAACUUGUUUCAAUGUGGAAUUUGACGAGAGUUGAGAUUCAACUCUGCAACAUGUUGUCUCCAGAAGGUCCACAAGACUCCCUUCGUUCAUAUAACUGGGGGCUUGUGUUCGUCGCCGUGUUAGUAGAUAAUUUCCUCUACCCGAUAUCUGCCAUCCGGUCUCACUUCUCCCAAUCAAUCAAUUGGUCUGGUAUCAGGUACUACCUGAGAGAUGGGAAAAUAAGCAAGAUUGAAAGGGAGAACAGUUUGAAGUACACUGAUCUCGGCGGGAAGCAUCUGUAUGGCAAGAAGACAUACCCUGCUGGAAAGUCGUUGCUCGGUUACCUGUCCAUAAGCCUAGCGCAAUGGCACCAGCCCAAGAAGUACGAUGUCUAA